rfam:Gossypium arboreum cultivar AKA8401 contig_21161_3, whole genome shotgun sequence.
UUUUAAUAAUUUCAUCCAUUUCUACUGUUAAAAAUUGGCAUGCCUGACAAAAUAACUAGUCAAUUACAUGUGGCAUGCCAUGUGUAGCUCAUUUUGACAUACAAGGCCAGUUUUAACAAUAGAGAUGGGUAAAAUUUUUAUCA